rnacentral:RNase_P_RNA from 1 species
AGUGACGGAGUCUUUCUGGAAACAGAGAGAGUGGAACGCGGUAAACCCCUCAAGCUAGCAACCCAAAUUUUGGUCGGGGCAUGGAGUACACGGAAACGAACGUGGUACUCUGACUGCUACCAGCUCUAGGCUGUUAGUGGUAGACAGAUGAUUAUCGAAGGAAGUGGUCCUAGUCACUUCUGGAACAAAACAUGGCUUAUAGAA